AUUGAACGCUGGCGGCAGGCUUAACACAUGCAAGUCGAGCGGGGGAAGGUAGCUUGCUACCGAACCUAGCGGCGGACGGGUGAGUAAUGCUUAGGAAUCUGCCUAUUAGUGGGGGACAACAUCUCGAAAGGGAUGCUAAUACCGCAUACGUCCUACGGGAGAAAGCAGGGGAUCUUCGGACCUUGCGCUAAUAGAUGAGCCUAAGUCAGAUUAGCUAGUUGGGGGGGUAAAGGCCUACCAAGGCGACGAUCUGUAGCGGGUCUGAGAGGAUGUACGGCCACACUGGGACUGAGACACGGGCCAGACUCCUGCGGGAGGCAGCAGUGGGGAAAAUUGGACAAUGGGGAGAACCCUGAUCCAGCCAUGCCGCGUGUGUGAAGAAGGCCUUAUGGUUGUAAAGCACUUUAAGCGAGGAGGAGGCUACUGAGACUAAUACUCUUGGAUAGUGGACGUUACUCGCAGAAUAAGCACCGGCUAACUCUGUGCCAGCCGCCGCCGUAA
rnacentral:rRNA from 1 species